rnacentral:rRNA from 1 species
AUUGAACGCUGGCGGCAUGCCUUACACAUGCAAGUCGAACGGUAACAGGUCUUCGGAUGCUGACGAGUGGCGAACUGGUGAGUAAUACAUCGGAACGUGCCCGAGAGUGGGGGAUAACGAGGCGAAAGCUUUGCUAAUACCGCAUACGAUCUCAGGAUGAAAGCAGGGGACCGCAAGGCCUUGCGCUCACGGAGCGGCCGAUGGCAGAUUAGGUAGUUGGUGGGAUAAAAGCUUACCAAGCCGACGAUCUGUAGCUGGUCUGAGAGGACGACCAGCCACACUGGGACUGAGACACGGCCCAGACUCCUACGGGAGGCAGCAGUGGGGAGUUUUGGACAAUGGGCGCAAGCCUGAUCCAGCCAUGCCGCGUGCAGGAUGAAGGCCUUCGGGUUGUAAACUGCUUUUGUACGGAACGAAAAGACUCUGGUUAAUACCUGGGGUCCAUGACGGUGCCGUAAGAAUAAGCACCGACUAACUACGUGCCAGCAGCCGCCGUAACAC